rnacentral:pre_miRNA from 1 species
AAUAAAACACACGAAGGACGAACACAGACACACACAGUUCUUUCAAAAGAACUGUGUGUGUCUGUGUUCGUCCUUCGUGUGUUUUAUU